UGUGCCAGCAGCCGCGGUAAUACAGAGGGUGCGAGCGUUAAUCGGAUUUACUGGGCGUAAAGCGUGCGUAGGCGGCUUUUUAAGUCGGAUGUGAAAUCCCCGAGCUUAACUUGGGAAUUGCAUUCGAUACUGGGAAGCUAGAGUAUGGGAGAGGAUGGUAGAAUUCCAGGUGUAGCGGUGAAAUGCGUAGAGAUCUGGAGGAAUACCGAUGGCGAAGGCAGCCAUCUGGCCUAAUACUGACGCUGAGGUACGAAAGCAUGGGGAGCAAACAGGAUUAGAUACCCUGGUAGUCCAUGCCGUAAACGAUGUCUACUAGCCGUUGGGGCCUUUGAGGUUUUAGUGGCGCAGCUAACGCGAUAAGUAGACCGCCUGGGGAGUACGGUCGCAAGACUAAAACUCAAAUGAAUUGACGGGGGCCCGCACAAGCGGUGGAGCAUGUGGUUUAAUUCGAUGCAACGCGAAGAACCUUACCUGGCCUUGACAUACUAGAAACUUUCCAGAGAUGGAUUGGUGCCUUCGGGAAUCUAGAUACAGGUGCUGCAUGGCUGUCGUCAGCUCGUGUCGUGAGAUGUUGGGUUAAGUCCCGCAACGAGCGCAACCCUUUUCCUUACUUGCCAGCAUUUCGGAUGGGAACUUUAAGGAUACUGCCAGUGACAAACUGGAGGAAGGCGGGGACGACGUCAAGUCAUCAUGGCCCUUACGGCCAGGGCUACACACGUGCUACAAUGGUCGGUACAAAGGGUUGCUACACAGCGAUGUGAUGCUAUCUCAAAAGCCGAUCGUAGUCCGGAUUGGAGUCUGCAACUCAACUCCAUGAAGUCGGAUCGCUAGUAAUCGCGGAUCAGAA
rnacentral:rRNA from 1 species